GUAGGUGAACCUGCGGAAGGAUCAUUAUUGAAUAAACCUGGCGUGAUUGUUGCUGGUCCUCUCGGGGGCAUGUGCACAUCCGUCAUCUUUAUCUUUCCACCUGUGCACAUUUUGUAGAUCUGAAAAAAUUUCCGAGGCAACUCGUUUUUGAGGGACUGCUGUGCAUCACUGCCAGCUUCCCUUGGAAUUUCAGGUCUAUGUUUUCACAUACACCAUAAGAAUGUAAUAGAAUGUUAUAUUGGGCCUUGUGCCUAUAAACUAUAUACAACUUUCAGCAACGGAUCCCUUGGCUCUC
rnacentral:misc_RNA from 1 species